rnacentral:rRNA from 1 species
AGAGUUUGAUCCUGGCUUAGGAUGAACGCUAGCUACAGGCUUAACACAUGCAAGUCGAGGGCAGCGAGAGGAAGCUUGCUUCCUGUCGGCGACCGGCGCACGGGUGAGUAACGCGUAUCCAACCUUCCCCAUACUAGAGGAUAGCCCGGCGAAAGUCGGGUUAAUACUCUAUGUUGUAUUUCGAGGACAUCUGAAUAAUACCAAAGGUUUACCGGUAUGGGAUGGGGGAUGCGUCUGAUUAGCUUGUCGGCGGGGUAACGGCCCACCGAGGCGACGAUCAGUAGGGGUUCUGAGAGGAAGGUCCCCCACAUUGGUACUGAGACACGGACCAAACUCCUACGGGAGGCAGCAGUGAGGAAUAUUGGUCAAUGGGCGCGAGCCUGAACCAGCCAAGUAGCCGUGCAGGAUGACUGCCCUAUGGGUUGUAAACUGCUUUUAUAGGGGAAUAAAGUGAGGUACGUAUACCUUUUUGUAUGUACCCUAUGAAUAAGGACCGGCUAAUUCCGUGCCAGCCGCCGC